GGGUCGCUAGCUCAGUUGGUAGAGCAGUUGACUUUUAAUCAAUUGGUCGCAGGUUCGAAUCCUGCACGACCCACCA
rnacentral:tRNA from 1 species